rnacentral:rRNA from 1 species
CGGCAGACGGGUGAGUAAUGCAUGGGAAUCUACCCAGCUCUACGGAAUAACUCAGGGAAACUUGAACUAAUACCGUAUGCGCCCUUCGGGGGAAAGAUUUAUCGGAGUUGGAUGAGCCCAUGUCUGAUUAGCUAGUUGGUGGGGUAAAGGCCUACCAAGGCGACGAUCAGUAGCUGGUCUGAGAGGAUGAUCAGCCACACUGGGACUGAGACACGGCCCAGACUCCUACGGGAGGCAGCAGUGGGGAAUAUUGGACAAUGGGGGCAACCCUGAUCCAGCCAUGCCGCGUGAGUGAUGAAGGCCCUAGGGUUGUAAAGCUCUUUCACCGGUGAAGAUAAUGACGGUAACCGGAGAAGAAGCCCCGGCUAACUUCGUGCCAGCAGCCGCGGUAAUACGAAGGGGGCUAGCGUUGUUCGGAAUUACUGGGCGUAAAGCGCGCGUAGGCGGAUCGGUCAGUUAGGGGUGAAAUCCCGGGGCUCAACCCCGGAACUGCCUCUAAUACUGCCGAUCUAGAGUUCGAGAGAGGUGAGUGGAAUUCCGAGUGUAGAGGUGAAAUUCGUAGAUAUUCGGAGGAACACCAGUGGCGAAGGCGGCUCACUGUCUCGAUACUGACGCUGACGUGCGAAAGCGUGAGGAGCAAAC